AGCUUUGCGCAUUGGUGGUAUCAUAGCCAAUGAAGUUAAUCUGAGGCAGGAUUAUUGCUAAUUGAAAACUUUUCCCAGUACCCCGCCAUGAUGACUUGAAAUGUAGUCGGCAUUGGCAAUUUUUGAAGGUCUCUACAGAGA